rnacentral:rRNA from 1 species
CAGUAGCCGCGGUAACACGGAGGGAGCUAGCGUUGUUCGGAAUUACUGGGCGUAAAGCGCACGUAGGCGGUUAUUCAAGUCAGAGGUGAAAGCCCGGGGCUCAACCCCGGAACUGCCUUUGAAACUAGAUGACUGGAAUCUUGGAGAGGUCAGUGGAAUUCCGAGUGUAGAGGUGAAAUUCGUAGAUAUUCGGAAGAACACCAGUGGCGAAGGCGACUGACUGGACAAGUAUUGACGCUGAGGUGCGAAAGCGUGGGGAGCAAACAGGAUUAGAUACCCGGGUAGUCCCUGUCUCUUAUAC